UACGUGAGGGCGCAAGCGUUGUCCGGAAUUAUUUGGGCGUAAAGAGCUCGUAGGUGGCUUGUCGCGUCUGCCGUGAAAGCCCAAUGGCUUAACUGUGGGUCUGCGGUGGAUACGGGCUGGCUAGAGGGUAGGUAGGGGCAAGCGGAAUUCCUGGGUGUAGCGGGUAGAAAUGCGCAGAUAUCAGGAGGAACACCGGUGGCGAAGGCGGCUUGCUGGGCCUUACCUGACGCUGAGGAGCGAAAGCGUGGGGAGCGAACAG
rnacentral:rRNA from 1 species